rnacentral:lncRNA from 1 species
GUUCUUUUUUAAUUCUUUUUUGUCCUUUUUAUCACACAUCAAGCAGCGAACGCGCAAAAGUUACAUUUUGGUUCAUCAGAUAUCUGUUUGUCUUUACAGUGGUCACAUGCUGUUUGCAUACAGAUGAAAUUAACUCUAUGUUCUUUUGAACCACACCAAGAUUUGCCGCAGUUUUGACAAAGUGUACACUGAUUGCACAUUUCCUCUUUGUCUUUACAGUUUUGGCAUCUCGAAGUGGAUGAUAGAUUCCCGUUUUCACAUUGUACGAGUGUGUCUUGGGUCGUUUCACAAUUGAAGAUUAUCAUUUGUCUGUCGGUUCUCUCAGUAUUGAUUGCUCUCUAGUAGCAUAAAUGCUCCUCGGUUUUAUAAUCACGGCAACAGACACAUUUCAUUCUCCGCAUUGGU